CUCAAGUGAUGAUUAUUGGAGGUAGAGCACUGUUUGGACGAGGGGCCCCUCUCGGGUUACCGAAUUCAGACAAACUCCGAAUGCCAAUUAAUUUAACUUGGGAGUCAGAACAUGGGUGAUAAGGUCCGUGUUCGAAAGGGAAACAGCCCAGACCACCAGCUAAGGUCCCAAAAUAUAUGUUAAGUGGAAAAGGAUGUGGCGUUGCCCAGACAACUAGGAUGUUGGCUUAGAAGCAGCCAUCAUUUAAAGAGUGCG
rnacentral:rRNA from 1 species